CGAACGGUCGGCAGGCGAUCCGCGUCGGUCGCGCUGGGUGGUAUGGUUCCCCAGAGGCCGGUUCUUGUGCUGCCUACCCCUUCAGGGGAAGAGUUCCAAACUCGAUGUAAGCCUCCAUCCGGCGCCCUCCAAAGGGCGCGGGAGGACAACGGAGCACCCCCCGCGUUCACCGAGCCUCCUCGGUCGCGUGGCCCGCGGGGACGUGCGAUGCUCUCGGACCCAGCGAACGCCGUGGGCGAGGACUCACGUCCCGGUCCCNAGUGAAGCAACGGUAUAACGCACGACGGCCGGUCCCGCCCCACGACCGCCCGGCGGCGCGGGGGCGAAAGCGCGGCGUCGCUGAGGAAUGCU
rnacentral:misc_RNA from 1 species